GACGAACGCUGGCGGCGUGCUUAACACAUGCGAGUCGAACGGUGAAGCGCCUUCCUUUGUGGGGGGUGUGGAUGAGUGGCGAACGGGUGAGUAACACGUGAGUAACCUUCCCCCUUCUUCGUGAUAACCGCAUGAAAGUGUUGCUAAUACGGGAUAUUCUGGGUCUGUCGCAGGAUGGGUCUGGGUAAGAUAUUGUUUCGGUUGGUGAUGGGCUCGCGGCCUAUCAGCUUGUUGGUGGGGUGAUGGCCUACGAAGGCGGUGACGGGUAGCCGGCCUGAGAGGGUGGACGGUCACACUGGGACUGAGGCACGGCCAAGACUGCUACGGGAGGCAGCAGUAGGGAAUAUUGCACAAUGGGGGCAAGAAUGAUGCAGCGACGCCGAGUGAGGGAUGGAGGCCUGCGGGUUGUGAAACUCUUUCGCUAGUGAAGCAGGACUGCCUCGUUUGUGGGUGGGUUGACGGUAGCUGGAUAAGAAGCGCCGGCUAACUACGUG
rnacentral:rRNA from 1 species